UACGUAGGGGGCAAGCGUUGUCCGGAAUCAUUGGGCGUAAAGAGCGUGUAGGCGGCUCGAUAAGUCUGCUGUGAAAGUCCAGGGCUCAACCCUGGAAGGCCGGUGGAAACUGUCGGGCUAGAGUCCGGAAGAGGCGAGUGGAAUUCCCGGUGUAGCGGUGAAAUGCGCAGAUAUCGGGAGGAACACCAAUGGCGAAGGCAGCUCGCUGGGACGUGGACUGACGCUGAGACGCGAAAGCGUGGGGAUCAAACAGG
rnacentral:rRNA from 1 species